CAAAAAUCCUUGCACCGGCCCUGGCUGGAGGGGGCUGUGUGAGCUGUGGCCGCUCAGUGUCCCAUGGUAGUUAGGGUGCCGUACAGCUCACACAAGCAAACAGCUGAUAAACUGGCUGCAUGGAGGAAAUGUGUAUGUGUGACUGUCUGCCUGUGACUGUAUGUGACUGUCUGUAACUGAGUGUGUGACUGUCUGCCUGUAAAUGUGUGUGUGGGGCUGCAGGG
rnacentral:lncRNA from 1 species